rnacentral:rRNA from 1 species
AUACGUAGGGGGCGAGCGUUGUCCGGAAUGAUUGGGCGUAAAGGGCGCGUAGGCGGCCUGUUAAGUCUGGAGUGAAAGUCCUGUUUUCAAGAUGGGAAUUGCUUUGGAUACUGAUGGGCUUGAGUGCAGGAGAGGUUAUCGGAAUUCCCGGUGUAGCGGUGAAAUGCGUAGAGAUCGGGAGGAACACCAGUGGCGAAGGCGGGUAACUGGACUGCAACUGACGCUGAGGCGCGAAAGUGUGGGGAGCAAACAGGAUUAGAUACCCUGGUAGUCCACACUGUAAACGAUGAAUACUAGGUGUAAGAGGUAUCGACCCCUUUUGUGCCGGAGUUAACACAAUAAGCAUUCCGCCUGGGGAGUACGGCCGCAAGGUUGAAACUCAAAUGAAUUGACGGGG